CCAAACCAGCGGUGAGUUGUUGGUUGCAAAGCGCUGUACGUCAAAAGUGAUUUGUAUACUCCCAAGUGAUGAUUUAAAUGUACAAUUUAUAUACAUUUGUUUGUAAAUGUUAUUCGAACAUCACACAUAAGAUGCAGUGUUUUUUGGAGAAUAUUGGUUGUGCAUUUUGGUUGUAAAGAAUUCCCGCCAGUACUAGCUAGCAACUUACUGUGUCUGGUGGGGGGGUCAUAUAUUUUGUACAGUGCGUGAGUGCAGAGUUGGAUGGUGAGCCGUGCAUUGCAUGACGUGCAAUUUUGUGCUGUUCCUAUCAGAAUAAAUCUCCAUGACUGGUGCUACACGUUGGAGUUCGUGUCGAGGAUUGAUUCUACACAACGCAAGAAGAGUACUGUUACAAUUUGUUUAUUAUUUGAAUCAGCUGUGUAGUAUUAGGUCAAAAAUUAAAACGUGCACCACUUGAAUCCCGAGGACCGAGUUUGGGCAACCCUGCUCUUAUCCCAACAAUGCAGUAAUCCCCUUCCUCUAGCGACACAACGGACGCGUGCGUGCGCAACUAUGGGGCAAAACAUACUGGCUAGUUUGAUUAUUGUUGACAACAGAUGGUCCGAGACGCUCUGACUAGUAGACCUGGUGGGCAAGACGUAUUAGAAGACAACCAAAACAUUGGACCGCAGAACCAGGAGAGAGGAGAUUGCCAUUUUAGUCAGCCACGUGAAAGAGACGACGCCAAUCUGACCACAAUGAAUCAAAACAAACUGUACAUGAAUGUUAUUUGGCCUCAUUAUGAGACUGUAGAACGAUACAGCGCCUUCAUCAACACAACUUUGGUUCAACAUAUUUGGUGUGUGUUAGAGCAGGAGGCUUCCCACUCGUCAACAGAACCUUAUGCUCUUGGAAUUGUGACCCUCUUUCCUUCGUUGAGAGAUCCUUUAACCGCCAAAAGGUGUUGGUACCCUCUUUCCUUCGUUGAGAGAUCCUUUAACCGCCAAAAGGUGUUGGUACCCUCUUUCCUUCGUUGAGAGAUCCUUUAACCGCCAAAAGGUCUUGGUAGAGUGUUCUUGUUUUAGUGUUUUGACACUUGCUCUGUGGACUGAAAGGGGCAUCAAAACAGUCAUAUAAUCAAGUCUACAAAUAACAACCAUUUCACUACCAUGUUGGGUCACCUUUUCCCAACAGCCAUUUGACUACCAUGUUGGGUCACCUUUUCCCAACAACCAUUUGACUACCAUGUUGGGUCACCUUUUCCCAAUAACCAUUUGACUACCAUGUUGGGUCACCUUUUCCCAACAGCCAUUUCACUACCAUGUUGGGUCACCUUUUCCCAAUAACCAUUUCACUACCAUGUUGGGUCACCUUUUCCCAACAGCCAUUUCACUACCAUGUUGAGUCACCUUUUCCCAAUAACCAUUUGACUACCAUGUUGGGUCACCUUUUCCCAACAACCAUUUCACUACCAUGUUGGGUCACCUUUUCCCAAUAACCAUUUGACUACCAUGUUGGGUCACCUUUUCCCAAUAACCAUUUGACUACCAUGUUGGGUCACCUUUUCCCAAUAACCAUUUCAUUACCAUGUUGGGUCACCUUUUCCCAAUAACCAUUUGACUACCAUGUUGGGUCACCUUUUCCCAAUAACCAUUUGACUACCAUGUUGAGUCACCUUUUCCCAAUAACCAUUUGACUACCAUGUUGGGUCACCUUUUCCCAAUAACCAUUUCACUACCAUGUUGGGUCACCUUUUCCCAAUAACCAUUUCACUACCAUGUUGGGUCACCUUUUCCCAAUAACCAUUUGACUACCAUGUUGGGUCACCUUUUCCCAAUAACCAUUUCACUACCAUGUUGGGUCACCUUUUCCCAAUAACCAUUUGACUACCAUGUCGGGUCACCUUUUCCCAACAACCAUUUGACUACCAUGUUGAGUCACCUUUUCCCAAUAACCAUUUGACUACCAUGUUGGGUCACCUUUUCCCAACAACCAUUUCACUACCAUGUUGGGUCACCUUUUCCCAACAACCAUUUGACUACCAUGUUGGGUCACCUUUUCCCAACAACCAUUUGACUACCAUGUUGGGUCACCUUUUCCCAACAACCAUUUGACUACCAUGUUGGGUCACCUUUUCCCAACAACCAUUUCACUACCAUGUUGGGUCACCUUUUCCCAACAACCAUUUGACUACCAUGUUGAGUCACCUUUUCCCAAUAACCAUUUGACUACCAUGUUGGGUCACCUUUUCCCAAUAACCAUUUGACUACCAUGUUGGGUCACCUUUUCCCAAUAACCAUUUGACUACCAUGUUGGGUCACCUUUUCCCAAUAACCAUUUCACUACCAUGUUGGGUCACCUUUUCCCAAUAACACAUUCAGGGCUCUGCCUCAUCUGUUUAGCAUGUUAUUUUGGCAUUAAUACUUGUCACAUAUCUGUUUGCAAACAAUGUAAAAAUAUAAAUCAUUGAGUUAAUAAAGCAGCAUACAAACA